UGGGGAAUAUUGGACAAUGGGCGAAAGCCUGAUCCAGCCAUGCCGCGUGUGUGAAGAAGGUCUUCGGAUUGUAAAGCACUUUAAGUUGGGAGGAAGGGCAGUAAGUUAAUACCUUGCUGUUUUGACGUUACCGACAGAAUAAGCACCGGGCUAAC
rnacentral:rRNA from 1 species